CCUGGUUGAUCCUGCCAGUAGUCAUAUGCUUGUCUCAAAGAUUAAGCCAUGCAUGUCUAAGUAUAAAAGUAUUCUAUACUUGAAACUGCGAAUAGCUCAUUAAAUCAGUUAUAGUUUAUUUGAUGGUGCCUUACUACAUGGAUACCCGUAGUAAUUCUAGAGCUAAUACAUGCCAAGAAAGCCCUGCCGUAAGGCAGGGUUGUAUUUAUUAGAUAAAAAACCUUUACUCGCAAGGGUUUUUGUGGUGAUUCAUAAUAACUGUUCGAAUCGCGGCGCAAGCUGCGAUUGAUCAUUCAAAUUUCUGCCCUAUCAGCUCUCGACGGUAGUGUAGUGGACUACCGUGGCAUUAACGGGUAACGGAGAAUUAGGGUUCGAUUCCGGAGAGGGAGCCUGAGAAACGGCUACCACAUCCAAGGAAGGCAGCAGGCGCGCAAUUACCCAAUCCUGACACAGGGAGGUAGUGACAAAAAAUAACAAUACCGGGCGCUUCGCGUCUGGUAAUUGGAAUGAGUUCAAUUUAAAUCCCUUAACGAGGAUCAAUUGGAGGGCAAGUCUGGUGCCAGCAGCCGCGGUAAUUCCAGCUCCAAUAGCGUAUAUUAAAGUUGCUGCAGUUAAAAAGCUCGUAGUUGAAUUUCUGGUACGAUGUGCCUGGUCCACGGUCGCAAGGCCGCGCGUAUCGGAGUACGUCUGCCAUCCUUCUAGUUAACUGGCUAUACUUAACUGUGUGGUCAGCAACCUAGAUCUUUUACUUUGAAAAAAUUAGAGUGUUUAAAGCAGGCUCGCGCUGUGAAUACAUUAGCAUGGAAUAAUAAUUUAGGACUUUGCUUCUAUUUUAUUGGUUUCUAGGGGUAAAGUAAUGAUUGAUAGGGAUAGUUGGGGGUGCUAGUAUUCAUCGGCCAGAGGUGAAAUUCUUGGAUUCGAUGAAGACUAACUUAUGCGAAAGCAUUCACCAAGGAUGUCUUCUUUAAUCAAGAACGAAAGUUGGGGGAUCGAAGACGAUCAGAUACCGUCGUAGUCUCAACCAUAAACUAUACCGACUAGGGAUUAGUGGAAGUUGCUAUAUCGACUCCAUUAGCACCUUAUGAGAAAUCAGAAGUCUUUGGGUUCUGGGGGGAGUAUGGUCGCAAGGCUGAAACUUAAAGGAAUUGACGGAAGGGCACCACCAGGAGUGGAGCCUGCGGCUUAAUUUGACCCAACACGGGGAAACUUACCAGGUCCGGACAUAGUGAGGAUUGACAGAUUGAAGUUCUUUCUUGAUUCUAUGUGUGGUGGUGCACGGCCGUUCUUAG
rnacentral:rRNA from 1 species